CGUUAAUCGGAAUUACUGGGCGUAAAGGUGCGCAGGCGGUUCUGUAAGUCAGAUGUGAAAUCCCCGGGGCUUAACCUGGGAACUGCGUUUGAAACUGCAGAGCUAGAGUGCGGCAGAGGGAGGUGGAAUUCCAUGUGUAGCAGUGAAAUGCGUAGAGAUAUGGAAGAACAUCGAUGGCGAAGGCAACCUCCUGGGCUAGCACUGACGCUCAUGCACGAAAGCGUGGGGAGCAAACAGGAUUAGAUACCCUGGUAGUCCACGCCCUAAACUAUGUCAACUAGUUGUCGGGUCUUAUUAGACUUGGUAACGUAGCUAACGCGUGAAGUUGACCGCCUGGGGAGUACGGUCGCAAGAUUAAAACUCAAAGGAAUUGACGGGGACCCGCACAAGCGGUGGAUUAUGUGGAUUAAUUCGAUCCC
rnacentral:rRNA from 1 species